UGGGACCGAACAUGGAUGACAAAUUGGGCAUUCCAAAAAAUUUGGGGAAUUGGGCAUUUCAAUGUGGGGAUAAAAUGGAAAAAUGAAAAAAAAAAAAACUGGUGCAGUGUGCAUCCCCACUCCAGCCUGUGCCGCUGUAUUUAAAGGACUGACGUUAUCUGUCCGUCCGUCUGUCUGUACCUUCGGCUCUCCACCAUCCCAGCCUGCUGCAGCACACUCCGCCCCCAGCUCCCAGCUCUGACACAAUGUUUCCACAGCGUUAAGGAGACGUUGCUAGAACGUUACUGUCUCUGUCCCCUACCUCAGUGAGACUGGGAGAUGGCUCUGUGCUGCCCCUGUCUGUAGGGGAAGCGGAGAGGCGUUGUGCUUGAGGAAGGCCUGAUAACCAGAAGGCCCAGCUGCUGUGCCCUUAGGCAAGGUGCUCAACAGGAAUUCCACGCGUGAGCACAUCCAGCCGCAUAAACUGUAUCACACGGAGGCUACGCAGCACAGGCAGCAGUCCCAGUAGGAAGUCGCUGCCAGAUCCACACCGGGUCCCGACCCAUUUGUUCUUUCGGCAGUGGAGCUUUCUGUAGGAGCCUGGCCAGAGCUACGUCUGGAGCUGCAGAGAGCACAUGGCAGCAGCAGAAUGUUCUAGAGUUUCGCUGUUGUUGUACAGCCAACAGUGUCCCAAGGCUGCACGGUUUGCUUUGACCUUUGACCCCUGGAAGGCCCUUCACUCCUCAGAGUGUCACAGCCACACUGGCACAGAGAGAGAGGGAGGAGCAGGCGCCGUGCAGUGACGGAGACCUGUCCUUCUCACUUGUGGCUUUAUGUUUUUUCUUUUCUUUUUUUAAAUGUUCCCUUAUUUACCCAAUCCUGAGCAUGCCAGCACCCCCGCCUCUGCUGGAUGAACAGCAGAAGCAGCCGGUUCCUCCAUAUGAGGA